GACGAGCCACACGAACGUUAUUCGGAAUUACUGGGCUUAAAGGGUGCGUAGGCGGCGCGAAAAGUUGGGUGUGAAAUACCUCGGCUCAACCGAGGAACUGCGCCCAAGACUAUCGUGCUCGAGGGAGAUAGAGGUGAGCGGAACUUACGGUGGAGCGGUGAAAUGCGUUGAUAUCGGAAGGAACGCCGGUGGCGAAAGCGACGGACUGGACCUCUUCUGACGCUGAGGCGCGAAAGCUAGGGGAGCAAACGGG
rnacentral:rRNA from 1 species